AGAGUUUGAUCAUGGCUCAGGAUGAACGCUAGCGGCAGGCCUAAUACAUGCAAGCCGAACGGUAACUUGAAUAGCAAUAUUUGAGCUAGAGUGGCGUAAGGGUGCGUAACACGUAUGCAAUCUGCCCGCAACAGGAGGAUAGCUCCCCGAAAGGGGAAUUAAUACUCCAUAAGAUCACACGAGGGCAUCUGAGGGUGAUUAAACUACAAGGGGCUGCGGAUGAGCAUGCGGUUGAUUAGCUAGUUGGCGGGGUAACGGCCCACCAAGGCGAUGAUCAAUAGGGGAACUGAGAGGUUUAUCCCCCACACUGGCACUGAGAUACGGGCCAGACUCCUACGGGAGGCAGCAGUAGGGAAUAUUGGACAAUGGGCGAGAGCCUGAUCCAGCCAUGCCGCGUGCAGGAAGAAGGCCUUCUGGGUUGUAAACUGCUUUUGCCAGGGGAUAAAAAGUCCCUGCGGGGAAAAUUGAAGGUACCUGGUGAAUAAGCCACGGCUAACUACGUGCCAGCAGCCGCGGUAAUACGUAGGUGGCAAGCGUUGUCCGGAUUUAUUGGGUUUAAAGGGUGCGUAGGCGGUUCUAUAAGUCAGUGGUGAAAUACGGCAGCUCAACUGUCGAGGUGCCAUUGAUACUGAAGAACUUGAGUACAGACGAGGUAGGCGGAAUUGACGGUGUAGCGGUGAAAUGCUUAGAUAUCGUCAAGAACACCGAUAGCGAAGGCAGCUUACUAGGCUGUAACUGACGCUGAGGCACGAAAGUGUGGGGAUCAAACAGGAUUAGAUACCCUAGUAGUCC
rnacentral:rRNA from 1 species